CCUACGGGAGGCUGCAGUGGGGAAUAUUGCACAAUGGGGGAAACCCUGAUGCAGCGACGCCGCGUGAGUGAAGAAGUAAUUCGUUACGUAACGCUCUAUCACCAGGGAAGAAAAUGCCGGUAACUGAGUAAGAAGCACCGGCUAACUACGGGCCAGCAGCCGCGGUAAUACGUAGGGGGCAAGCGUUAUCCGGAUUUACUGGGUGUAAAGGGAGCGUAGACGGUGCGCAGAGUCUGGAGUGAAAGGCCGCAGCUUAACUGCGGAACUGCUUUGGAAACUGGCGAACUAGAGUGCGGGAGGGGUGAGCGGAAUUCCUAGUGUAGCGGUGAAAUGCGUAGAUAUUAGGAGGAAUACCGGUGGCGAAGGCGGCUUACUGGACCGUAACUGACGUUGAGGAUCGAAAGCGUGGGGAGCAAACAGGAUUAGAUACCCUUGUAGUC
rnacentral:rRNA from 1 species